CCUACGGGAGGCAGCAGUGAGGAAUAUUGGUCAAUGGACGAGAGUCUGAACCAGCCAAGUAGCGUGAAGGAUGACUGCCCUAUGGGUUGUAAACUUCUUUUAUAAAGGAAUAAAACGAGGCACGUGUGCCUUUUUGCAAGUACUUUAUGAAUAAGGAUCGGCUAAAUCCGUGCCAGCAGCCGCGGUAAUACGGAGGAUCCGAGCGUUAUCCGGAUUUAUUGGGUUUAAAGGUAGCGUAGAUGGGUUGUUAAGUCAGUUGUGAAAGUUUGCGGCUCAACCGUAAAAUUGCAAUUGAUACUGGUAGUCUUGAGUACAGUAGAGGUAGGCGGAAUUCGUGGUGUAGCGGUGAAAUGCUUAGAUAUCACGAAGAACCCCGAUUGCGAAGGCAGCUUACUAAACUGUGACUGACAUUGAUGCUCGAAAGUGUGGGUAUCAAACAGGAUUAGAUACCCCUGUAGUC
rnacentral:rRNA from 1 species